AUGCAGAGUGGAAGGAAACAGCCUGCCAACUCAAAACUGAAGGGAANNNNNNNNNNNNNNNNNNNNNNNNNNNNNNNNNNNNNNNNNNNNNGAGAGCCUGUCACCAGGAAAGGCGAACCCCGCAGGGAGCAGGAGGAACAUGGGUCUGAGAGCAUUUACUGUCUGAGCACCCGGUCUCCACCAGGCACCUUUCGGGUAAUCAUGGGAGGACGGAAGAUGCCAAGAGAUGAAGAAAAUGCCUACGGUAAGAACACGUCUCACAAUGAGUGUUUGUCCCCAGGAGUGAGCUCUACGUAGUAGGGGAAUGGGCUAAUUCAAGACUGAACAGAGAGAAGUCGAGAGGUGACUCGAUGCUGGGGUGAAGCAGCAAGAGGCCUGGGGCUGGCACUUCACCUGGAUUUGUAUCCCCACCCUGCUGUGAGAUAUUAAGUUCUUUGACUAACCUGAAGCUCUGGUCCCAAAGUAAAAUGAAUAAACCGAAGGCGACGCAGAAGGCAUCAGAUCGUAUAUUAGAGAGAACAUGAUUCACCAGGUAGAAAGUGUUAGGGAACACAGAUGGAGGUUAUUAGACAGCAGUUUUGAGAGAAGAGAGGAGGAGGAGGGAGGGAAGGCCUGGUCUUAUCCUCCCAACAGCCGAUGAGGACAGUGCUACAAUAUUGAUUCCGUUUGUGCAGAAGAGGUUUACCGCUUAGAUUAAGCAGCUCCCCAGGGUUACAAGGAUGGUAGAGGACAGGUCUAUGAUUCAAACCCCAGCUUUGGAACUCCAGAUAGCCCUCCCGGCUGGGCCCACUGCCCCACCCCUUUCUCCAGUGGGACAGUACCAGGGAAAAUAAGACAGAAAUUGUCAUUGGGGACCAGCUCUGCACAGCCUGGAUGACAGAUCAUUUCAGACGAAGUAAUGGCCUGUAUUACAAAGGCGCAUCCUCUAGAGAGACGUUCAGCAGCUGCUGGAGCACCUACAGGU
rnacentral:lncRNA from 1 species